UGCGCAGGCGGAUUAGUAAGUCAGUGGUGAAAGCCCGGGGCUCAACCCCGGAACUGCCAUUGAUACUGCUUCUCUUGAGUAUAGUUGAGGUGGGCGGAAUGUGUCAUGUAGAGGUGAAAUUCAUAGAUAUGACACAGAACACCGAUUGCGAAGGCAGCUCGCUAAACUAUUACUGACGCUCAGGCACGAAAGCGUGGGGAGCAAACAGGAUUAGAUACCCUGGUAGUC
rnacentral:rRNA from 1 species